CAUCUCCCUUCCAAAUGUGCUGCAAACAUUCCAGGAAGGAAUGUGACUCACACUUUUUGGGAGAUCCUUCUUGAAGUAUCAACUGCCAGAAGAACAUCUUAAAAUCUGGCUGCUACUUGCACAAAGAGCUCUGGUAUAUAAGACCUUUCAGUAUGUGGGAGCUAAAAAGAGCAAAGUUGGCUUUUAAGGUGAAGCACAACGGCAUGUCAGAUCUGUCUUCAUCUUAAGAUGGCCCUGUUUCCGGUAUGUUCUCUCCAAUUUCCUGUUGAAGAGAUGGUCUGAUCAAUAUCUCUAUACUCUGCAGCCAUUAACAGGACCUACGGCCAUACUGACUGAGGGGUUCUGCAAGUUGGAAGCCAAGACAACUCUCCCACAGUUUGUUAUUCUCAGUUCUCAUACUUGGCCCCUUUCUGGAACUAUAGCAAUAAUUAUUGCUAUAUUUGCUAAUUAUAAUUGGCACUUCACCACUGGGGCUGUCAAUGUGAACUGAUAGGGCUCUGGUAAUGGACAAAGUGCAACUUUUUUAUUAACUCUGAAGUGGGUGCUUUCCUAGUGGUGGGAUUAUUAUGUUGUUUUCAAAUGCCAUUAAGUCACUUCCAAUGAAUUGUGACCGUAUGAGAAAUUUCCAAGAAACCCUGUCACCAUCUCUACUCAAGUCUUCUAAGCUGAGGGUUAUGGCUUCCUUGAUUAAGUUUAAUCAAACCCAAGACAUUCUUCCUCUUUUCCGACUGCCUCCUCUUUUCCCAAGCACUGUAGUCUUUCUAAUGAGAUAUGUCAUCUCUCAAUUUGGAUAAAGUAUGAUAGGCUCAGUUUAAUCCCAUAGAAGCCAAAACAAAUAUAGCUAGAGCUGUGAUGGAGCAACUGGGAAAAGACUCACUCACUUUUUGUGUGUUUAUGAACAGGUAGGGUAUUGUGUGAAUAAUCAUCUAGGCAAGCAGUUUACCAGCAAUGGUUUAUGGUUUCAGGAGCAUCUUGGACAAAGUGCUCUCUGGUGAGUUAUUUCUUAGUUGAUGGGGUAUAGUCUGUUUAUGUGGAAUUGUUACUCCAGGGCCCCAAAUAAUCAUUUUAAUUUAAAGUAACAUUGGGAUGGUUAAAAUGGUAGCUAGACCCAACUGCUCAGUGUAUUGGGUUAAAAUUGUCUUUGAAAGGAGUCCUAGAAUUGGACUCUCUGGCUCUCUUAGGAGUGGUUCUUCUCAACCAAGGAGGCUCCAGAUGCUGGACUUCAGCUCUCUUGCUCUUGGCUAUGUUGGACGUUGAGAUCCAACAGCAUCUGGAGUUCCUUUAGUAGAGACUCUUGCAGCUGCCCAAGGAUUCCAAGUGAUGUUACUAUUUCUGAAUGACCACCAUCUGUUUGGGCCGGUUAUCAAUCGUCUGUUACUUUAUUUCCUCUCAACUGAUUUGGUAUCACAUCCAACCAGUCCAUAAUUCAGGAAAUAAAGCCCGGCUGCUCACUGGAGGGAAGGAUAAUAGAUACAAAGAUGAAGUACUUUGGCCACAUCAUGAGAAGACAGGAAAGUUUAGAGAAGACAAUGAUGCUGGGGAAAAUGGAAGGAAAAAGAAAGAGGGGCCAACCAAGGGCAAGAUGAGUGAAUGGUAUCCUUGAUGUGACUGGCUUGACUCUGAAGGAGCUUGGGGUGGUGAUGGCCGACAGGGAGCUCUGGCGUGGGCUUAUCCUUGGUCACAAAGAGUUGGAAGCA